rnacentral:rRNA from 1 species
UACGGAGGAUCCAAGCGUUAUCCGGAAUCAUUGGGUUUAAAGGGUGCGUAGGCGGGUUGGUAAGUCCGUGGUGAAAUCCCCAAGCUUAACUUGGGAACUGCCGUGGAUACUAUCAAUCUUGAAUAUCGUGGAGGUAAGCGGAAUAUGUCAUGUAGCGGUGAAAUGCUUAGAUAUGACAUAGAACACCAAUUGCGUAGGCAGCUUACUACACGAUCAUUGACGCUGAGGCACGAAAGCGUGGGGAGCAAACAGG